ACAUUUUUAAAAAUGCAGCCUCAUUUACAAAUCUUGGAAUUUUUUCUGCCUUUAUCUGUUAUUUUUUUAGAAUAGUUUUAGGAAUGUUAGGUAGAUUUCUAAUUAUAUGGCAAAUCAGAUUUUUUUUUUUUUUAAGCAACUGUGUGCCAGGAGUAGGAUCCUGAGGUUGCAGCUAGACUCAAAGGGCAAGACACCAUGAUUGAUUAGUCAUGUUUAAAUGCAACCACCACAACUGCCAAUCUCCUUCCCCUCGUGAUUUUCUGACCUUCUGCAAGCUCAGUGGUCUUCUCCACUGAGCUGAUAAAUGGUUGGCCUGGUUCUUGUCCAGACCCACUAAAUUCUGACGAUGCUAAGCUAAGCCACACCCACUGGCACUAAAUCCAAAGGUCCAAGCCAUUUAAGGAAUAUGAAUGUUGGCUCCAGUUCAUAUGAUGGAAGUUAUGUAACCAGCUCUUGGAUACCAUUCAACCUUCCUGUCUACCUCUCAAACUCCAUGAUUCAAGAUUCUUUCAGUGUCUAAAUCUUUCCGUUCUCUAAAUUUCUCUGCAGCUCGGCAAUGUGUCACUGCAUUGUGCGUCGUAAAAAUAAUAUUAAUGUUACGUGGUGCGAAACGAUGCUCAUACCACAUCCCGCGGAUGAAAAAUAUUGAAUGUGUCAACAUGUUCGAGGACUAAGAAGAGAGCGUCGUCAUUCAGCUCCUGGCCUCUGUAGACCAUUUAGGUACCUUUCUUGGGAGCAAUAUGAUAUUUAAAAAUCCAUAUGGAGCAACCUGGGUGAUGAUUUCCAUGGGGAAUUACCUCCAAGUAUUCCGAUCUUCAGGUACUAGCUCUGCUGUUGACCACCUACGUCUUCUGCCAGUGACACAUCCUGUGCCUUGGUUUCUCCAGGGAAAUAUUGAAACCCACACUGCAGUCAAAAGGAUUCAGAGAAUGACACGUACAAUCUUCAGCCAUUUGUGUGAGUCAAGCUCAUUGAUUACCAGGCAAGAUGAGGUUAAUCUCCUCAACCCUCAGCCCCGGAAGGAACAACAAUGUGGAACAUGUAUCCUUGCCACAGGGGCACAGCUUUCUGGGCCAGAGGUAGACACACCUCAAAGGGGAAACGAUUCAUAAUUAUGGCUGAGCCAAAAGAAGCUACCUUUUGGGAAUCUGUAAUUGAGAUUCUGAGGGACUGGCUAAGUUUGUGGCAAGCCAAAAAUACAUCAACACAGAGAAAGCAGGUGAGUUACAGUAAUGGCAGAGCACAUGGCGGGGCGGUGCAUGGGUCCCUGUCGCUGAGGUCCCUGGAGCCAUCCCACAUCCUCCCGUACUGGAGGUCUGGUGGUCUAUUGUUCCUUGGAGAUCUGGGAAACCACUUGGUAUUUUCACACUCUGAGGUGAUGGACUGGGUUCCUAUUCCUUCCAAUCAAACGAAUCCUUGCCAAAACCUAUGGUCAACCCAACCAGGGUGCAUUAUGAUACAAUGGGGCUGUGUGACUCCGCCUUCACUUCUGAGUGCCACAUCAAAGAGAAACUGCUACAUAUUUGCUCAGUAGAAGGUGUCAGGCUUGGAGACCAUGAGAGAACUGAGAGAAGAUAUGUAUGUGCAUCUAACAUAUCUGAAGUGCUGUUGUGUGGCAGCAAUGCAACUUUCAGCACUGUGGCUUCAGAGUAAAGAGCUAAGAACUGUGGAUGAAAGUAACAGGGGGGACUUCAGUCAGAGCUAUGACUAGAGCAGAGUCUAAGAUCCACGUGAGGAGGAACUCCAUGUAUCUCCUUCUUGACUUCAUUCAGGUGCUCACCCAGCGACUAGCACAGAGAAACCACUCGGUAGCUAUUUUUCAUAUAAAUAAUUAAGGAGGUAGCGGCUCUAUCCAAAGGAGCUGGGGUGUGAGAAGAACUUGAAUGGAUGUGCGUUUCAUGAGCUCAAAGCAUUUUGAAACCCUAAGGUCAUUAUUGAAGGUUACAGACAAUUUGGCCCCCAUAAUUUUAGUAACUAACAUGUAUACUGGUCAGCUGUCUGAUCUGCUUUAAUCUUUAAAUUUUAUUGAAAAGUCAAUUCUCAAUCGGAGAAUUUGGGGAGGGGGGCACGAAGUCAUUAUGUUCACAGCAUCUUGCUGUGAGUUGAACUCCUAGGGUUCGAAUCUGUUCUAUGACAGGAGGAAAGUUGCUUAAUCACUCUGGAAAAUAUGGUCAGGGUGCCUACCACAGGGUUUUUGCUUUUUGAAAUAAAGAUGAGAUAAAAUAGCAUAUGUAAGCAGACUAGCCCAGAGUAAUCACUCAGCAACAUUAUUACGAGCUAUCAUUAGCUACAAGGUUGCUUCAUUAACUUUUUAAAAUGAAAAUUGCCUUUAUCUCUCUUUACCUUCCAAGUUCCAUGCGAUGCUUCUGAUCAAAAAAGCAGUGUUUAAAACAAAUGAGUAGGGGUUUCCUUUAGCUCCUGGAGAGGGCCCCUGCUUCUAUGCAGCCUCAGCAUGACUUAUUCAUGAGAUGUUGACCCCACGUGGGAGGCAGGCAUGUGAUUCUUCACGAUGUUGGACACUGACCCUUCUGUGCUAUUGCCGUAGAUACACAGGACAUUAUCGUAGACCCCGGCCUUCGGACACCAACAUACUAAGCAUUUCCCUUACCACAUGGGUAAUUAUUUAAAGAUGUACCCCUCCACAGAGUGAUUUCUCUGUUGCUCUCAUUAAAUCAUAUAAAGGGCCCACCCACAUCACUCACUUUAAGCACUAAAUAUUUCAACAGAGUUGAAAUGAUGCCAGCUCAAUUUACUCGAAUACUAACGCUCAAUAUAGGCAAUUUGGCUGUGGAAAAAAAAAUAGAAGUUUCACUUGUGUUCAUAAAUGUUAAAUGAUAUUCUUCAACAAGAUGCAGAUUUAAAAUGUAAAUUAUUUAAAGUGUCCAAGACCUGUGGCCCGCAUUUCUUAUUCUAAGGCAGUGACACAUAUAUUACAGAUACAUUAUUCAUGUGUUAGGCACCCAUUACACCACACUGAUGCCGCCAAAGGCAUAACCAGUCAGGAAACAGGCUGUUGCAUAUUAUAGACAAAUCUGGAAACUCUCCCCCCGCCGUAUUUUUUUACCUUCAAGCUCUGUUUUAAUGAAAAUAUCUUUCACAGGUACUACGUAUAUCUGUACACACAUGUGUGGCCACUGGAGGGGGUCUCUUUGAAAGCACUGACUUUCUGCCAACUGCUGCUGGAUGUUAGUGCAUACAGAUCCAAUUUUGACCUAUGAUCUAUGACCUUCCAACAUCCUACUAGACAAUGUGGGUUCACUCUGAUAUCUCAAUAGCUUACACAAAGCAAAUGCGAUGGUCACAAACUCUUGUCCCUUCAAGAAGAGGUGACUUACUAUGCUAACCCAGGAGGGCUCGUCACUGCAAACAACUCACCUGCAUCAGGAAGAGAUGACCCCUGCAGGUGGUUGGAGCAUCAGCUGGCAGCUGCCUGGACAUUUCUUUUGCUGAAAAGCUCCCUGACAUCAGCUGGCACCUUGCAUAUCUGCCUGUUGCUCAAAUGUAGAGUGAGCUGUGAGGUGUCCCAUGGCAAACUUGUCCCCCUGCUGGAUAAACUACUGAAGUCAGGGCCAGGGUUGGCACUGACUGGUUUACUUGAUGAUGUGGAAAUAUUUCCUGUUGCUCUCCAUGUCCCUGAUUUGUUGGAAAUAUUCAAAAUGAGAGAAGGAGGAGAGAGUGGGGAUGAAGGACUUAAGCUCUGGAUCCAAGUCCUGGCUGAGCUACUUAGGGCUACAUGAUUUUUGAAAAUGGAAGUAUAAUCGACCUAUGUAACACUGUGGUAGUUUCAGUUGCACAACACAGAGUUGAGAUACUUCUAUAAGUAUGAAAUGAUCAUCAAGAUAAGUCUAGAUGCCAUCUGUCACCACACAAAGUUACUCCCUAGGCUGUACAUUUCAUCCCUAUGACUCAUUUACUUUGUAACUGGAAGUUGGUACCUCUUUUUCUUUGACUAUGCCUGUAGCAUGUGGAAGUCCCGGGCCAGGGAUUGAAUCCUGUAUCUGUAUCUAUAUAUUUUCAUUUAUGACAACGUAGAUGAACCAAAAGGGUAUUAUGCUUAGGGAAAUAAAUCAUGUAAAGACAAAUACCUAUAUCUUAGCUAUUAUAAAUAAUGCUGCAAUGAACAUAGGAGUGCAUGUAUCUUUUUGAAUUAGUAUUUUUGUUUUCUUCAGAAAAAUACUCAGAAGUGGAAUUACUGGAUUGUUCAGUAGCUACUUUUUUUUAACUGGGGAACCUCCAUACUGUUUACCAUAGUGGCUGUACCAAUUUACACUCCCAGCAAUAAUGUACCAGGGUUCCCUUUUCUCCACAUCCUUGCCAACACUGGUUACUUGCUAUGUUUUGAUAACAGCCAUUCUGACAGGUGUGAGACGAUAUUUCACGGUGGUUUUGAUUUGCGUUUCCCUGAUGAUCAGUAAUGUUGAAUAUCUUUUCAUAUGUCUGGAGACCAUGCGUAUAUCUUCUUUGGAAAAUGUCUAUACCAAAUAAAGACGAUGAAAUUGGAGCAGGUCCUCUGCUCAUUUUCAAUCGGGUUGUUUAGGGUUUUUGAUGUUGUGUUGGAUGAGUUCUUUUUGUAUUUUGGAUACUGAUUCCUCAUCAUAUCUAUCAUUUGCAAAUAUCUUAUCCCAUUCAGUAGGUGGAUUUGUUUUUGUUUUGUUGACAGUUUCCCUUGCUGAGUGAAAGCUUUUCAGUUUGAUGCAGUUCCAUUUGUUCAUUUUUGUUUUCCUUACCUGAUGAAGCAUAUCCAAAAAGAUACUGCUAAGACUGAUUUCAAAGAGCUUAUUGGUUAUAUUUUCUUCUAUUUUUAUUGUUUCAGCUCACACAGUUAAGUCUUUAAUACACUUUGAGUAUAUUUUUGCAUAUGGUAUAAGAAAAUGGUCCAGUGUGCUUCUUUUUUGCACGCAGCUGUCCAGUUUUCCCAGCAUCUCUUAGAGUUAUGCAAUUUUGGACAAUUUAUUUGGCCCCUCCAAACUUCAAUUUCAUCCUCUUUAUUUGGAUGAUAGGAUGCAUGUAAAGCACUUUGCAUCUUGCUUGGUACACAGUAAGCAUUCAGUAUAUGUCUGUUCAUGGUUGUGAUGACUGUGGGGUGGGUAUUUAUCUCAAGGUACCUCUUCUCUAGUAUUUUCUCCCUUUUUCUCUUCCUUACCUAACUCUGAGGAAUCUCCCUUACCACUUAAAACCACGAGCAAGGAUGUCUUAGGGCUGGCUUACCUCAAAGCCUAUGAAGUCUUUACCAUAAUAACAAUAAUUAAAAAUUAUAAUUUAUCUGAUUUGAUGCCAAAUGGUCUCCAAAUCCUGUGUAAUGGUUAACUUUGAACACUGCUGCAGGCAGAAAGAAAAUAAGAAACUGAAACUUUUGUACUAUGCCUACAUAAUUUUUUUCCACUGAAUCUCUUUGUAAUUACAUUUAAAAUUAAUACUGUCCACAGGUCGAAUUACUGAGGCUGGCAGGGAAAACAGUUAAAACAUUCCAGGUGCUAAUCUUGCUUCACCAGUCCUCAGCUUUGCCUGCCUCUGGUGGACUCAUGAUUCCAAGGUUAUUUUUCAUUGAAGAAACAUUAAAAAAAAGGUAUAAACACAGUAGAAUAUCCUUGCAUAGGCAUUUUAGGUAAAGUGCUUGCAAUGGCAAAUAUUUUACUUUCUGGGGUUGGGAGUUGAGAGGACAUUCAACAUUAGCCAGCCUACUAUAUUUUGCUUAAAACCCUGUUAGGAACACCUGUUCUGAUGGAUUGUGGAAAGUAUCCCCAAAGAAGAUUGCUGUUCUCCAAAAGUCAGAAAGGUUUCAAGCAGCCUUGGGCUUACUGGUGGGUUUUCUCCACCUAUGCUCAGCAUCUUACAGCAUCUGGAAAUCAUUCUUAAAGCACACACGACUCAGCCAACUACAAGUGCUCACAUAAAUCUUUGGCUUUUCCAAUGAAUGUAGAAUCAUAGAGACCGGUACGAAGCACCAGCAAAGUCUGAAAUUAGAUGAAAAGAUGUCUCCAAGAUGGCUCCUCUCAAAUUUUCAUGUGUGUAUGGAUCACCUGGAGGAUCCUGUCAAAAGGCAGAUUGUGAUUGAGUAGUCUGGCGCAGGCUCGGAUGAAUUUCUACCAAGCCUCCAGGUGUUCUCUAUCCUGCUGGUCCAAGGACUGCACUUUGAAUGACAAGGUUCUAAGAUACAUGCGGGUCUGCUUCUGGGUUUGAAUUAGCACUGUACAAACCAUGGUCUCCUUGCACACUGUAGAUGAGCCAGUUGCUGUACGACAGUCAAUGAUCUCCCCUCCUUCAAGCUGCCUGACUGUUCUGGUUUGCAAAGUGCCAGAGGAGCACAAGACAGCCAUGAGAGGCUGUACGGGUACAUCCUGACUGGUCCCUGUACCCAAAGGCCCCGGUCUGCAGAGCCUGCCUUACUGGGACAUGGAUGCUCUUAGGAGGCAAUGCCCCCUUCCACUGGAACUAGUCUGAUAUUUUUCUUCUCUGCUUUCCCACUGCCUUCUAUCCUUGCCUCAAUCACAAUUUAAUGCCCCCUCCAAAACCUCCAUUAAAACAUUCUGUUUCU